GUAGGUGACUAGCGUUGUUCGGAUUUAUUGGGCGUAAAGGGUCCGCAGGGGGCCGGCUAAGUCUGAUGUGAAAUACCAAGGCUCAACCUUGGAACUGCAUUGGAAACUGGUCGGCUAGAGUAUCGGAGAGGAGAAUGGAAUUCCUGGUGUAGCGGUGGAAUGCGUAGAUAUCAGGAGGAACACCAAAGGCGAAGGCAGUUCUCUGGACGAUUACUGACCCUCAGGGACGAAAGUAUGGGGAUCAAACAGGAUUAGAUACCCUGGUAGUCCAUACUGUAAACGUUGUGAACUUGACGUGGGAGGAUUUAGUCCCUUCCGUGUCGUAGCUAACGCGAUAAGUUCACCGCCUGGGGACUACGGCCGCAAGGCUA
rnacentral:rRNA from 1 species